CUUGUCGGGUAAGUUCCGACCCGCACGAAAGGCGUAACGAUCUGGAUGGUGUCUCGGAGAGAGACUCGGCGAAAUAGGAUUGUCUGUGAAGAUACGGACUACCUGCACCUGGACAGAAAGACCCUAUGAAGCUUUACUGUAACCUGGAAUGGUGUCCGGGCUGAGCUUGCGCAGGAUAGGUGGGAGGCACUGAGGCAUUCCUUGUGGGGGAUGCGGAGCCAACGGUGAGAUACCACUCUAGUUCAGCUAGGAUUCUAACCCGCGACCGUCAUCCGGUCGGGAGACAGUUUCAGGCGGGCAGUUUGACUGGGGCGGUCGCCUCCUAAAAGAUAACGGAGGCGCGCAAAGGUUCCCUCAGCACGCUUGGAAACCGUGCGACGAGUGUAAAGGCAUAAAGGGAGCUUGACUGCAACACCAACAAGUGGAGCAGGUAGGAAACUAGGCCUUAGUGAUCCGACGGCGCAGCGUGGAAUGGCCGUCGCUCAACGGAUAAAAGUUACUCUAGGGAUAACAGGCUGAUCUCCCCCAAGAGUCCACAUCGACGGGGAGGUUUGGCAC
rnacentral:rRNA from 1 species